GGGAACCUGGUUGUUAAAUAUUUACCAGCACAGCUCUAUGUUAGUCUAUUGCUUGAGCUCAGCUAAAGUGAAUCAGAAGAAGGCUCAUGGAAUGGAGUCACCACCAGGCUAGAUGACUGAUUUAGACUUCAGAGCCUGUAGCACAUCAUCAGAGAUGGCAAUCUCAUCCUCUCAGAGUGCAUUAGACUUCUGGAAACAGUCAAGAUUUAUUUGCAGCUAACUUGGGUGAACAAGAUGGAUGACAGGGUACACUCUCCACAAUUGCCGCCACUAAUAUCCUCCAUGCUGUAGAAGAAAAUGAUGAAUUUAUG